rnacentral:tRNA from 1 species
GCCAUUGUGGUGUAGUGGUUUGAGUGUUGGACUAGGACUCCAGGAGACCAGGGUUCAAAUCCCCCACUAGAGCA